GGUGAAUUCUCUUAUCCUCCUGCGCUUCUGACUGUACCCAAUACACCUGAAUUCAUAGAUUCUCGACUUCAAGAUGCUAUUCAGAAGAUGAAAAGGCUUCAUAAGAUACUGCUGAAAAGACAAAAUAGGAAAAAAGAAAUUAAGAAGCAAGGUCUAGAAUUGAAAUUAAAAUUGUGGUGAGAUCUUAAGUCUGCAAAAACUAGUGAAGCUUUGCAAAGUAACGAGGAG